rnacentral:tRNA from 1 species
UAGCUCAGUUGGUAAAGAAUCUGCCUGCAAAGCAGGAGACCCUGGUUCGAUUCCUGG